rnacentral:rRNA from 1 species
UGGGGAAUAUUGGGCAAUGAAGGAAACUCUGACCCAGCAACGCCGCGUGGAGGAAGAAGGUUUUCGGAUCGUAAACUCCUGUCCUUGGAGACGAGUAGAAGACGGUAUCCAAGGAGGAAGCCCCGGCUAACUACGUGCCAGCAGCCGCGGUAAUACGUAGGGGGCAAGCGUUGUCCGGAAUAAUUGGGCGUAAAGGGCGCGUAGGCGGCUCGGUAAGUCUGGAGUGAAAGUCCUGCUUUUAAGGUGGGAAUUGCUUUGGAUACUGUCGGGCUUGAGUGCAGGAGAGGUUAGUGGAAUUCCCAGUGUAGCGGUGAAAUGCGUAGAGAUUGGGAGGAACACCAGUGGCGAAGGCGACUAACUGGACUGUAACUGACGCUGAGGCGCGAAAGUGUGGGGAGCAAACAGGAUUAGAUACCCUGGUAGUCCACACUGUAAACGAUGAAUGCUAGGUGUAGGGGGUAUCGACCCCUUCUGUGCCGCAGUCAACACAAUAAGCAUUCCGCCUGGGGAGUACGGCCGCAAGGUUGAAACUCAAAGGAAUUGACGGGGGCCCGCACGAGCAGCGGAGCAUGUGGUUUAAUUCGACGCAACGCGAAGAACCUUACCAGGUCUUGACAUCCACUUAAACUUACAGAGAUGUAAGGUGUGCUUGCACAAAGUGAGACAGGUGGUGCAUGGUUGUCGUCAGCUCGUGUCGUGAGAUGUUGGGUUAAGUCCCGCAACGAGCGCAACCCUUAUCUUCAGUUACUAACGCGUGAAGGUGAGGACUCUGAAGAGACUGCCGGGGACAACUCGGAGGAAGGUGGGGACGACGUCAAAUCAUCAUGCCCCUUAUGACCUGGGCUACACACGUGCUACAAUGGCCACGACAGAGAGAAGCGAAAUCGUAAGGUAGAGCGGAACUCAAAAAAGUGGUCCCAGUUCGGAUUGUGGGCUGCAACCCGCCCACAUGAAGUCGGAGUUGCUAGUAAUCGCGGAUCAGCAUGCCGCGGUGAAUACGUUCCC